rnacentral:rRNA from 1 species
UACGUAGGGUGCAAGCGUUACUCGGAUUUAUUGGGCGUAAAGCGCAUGUAGGCGGCUUUGUAAGUUUGAUGUGAAAUCCCUGGACUCAAUUCAGGAACUGCAUUGAAUACUGCAAGGCUAGAGUACGGGAGAGGUAGGUGGAAUUCCUGGUGUAGAGGUGAAAUUCGUAGAUAUCAGGAGGAACAACAGAGGCGAAGGCGACUUACUGGACCGUAACUGACGCUGAGAUGCGACAGUGUGGGGAGCAAACAGG